rnacentral:rRNA from 1 species
GCAUAUCAAUAAGCGGAGGAAAAGAAACCAACSAGGGAUUGCCUUAGUAGCGGCGAGUGAAGCGGCAAAAGCUCAAAUUUGAAAUCUGGCGCCUUCGGUGUCCGAGUUGUAAUUUGAAGAUUGUAACCUUGGGGUUGGCUCUUGUCUAUGUUUCUUGGAACAGGACGUCACAGAGGGUGAGAAUCCCGUGCGAUGAGAUGCCCAAUUCUAUGUAAGGUGCUUUCGAAGAGUCGAGUUGUUUGGGAAUGCAGCUCUAAGUGGGUGGUAAAUUCCAUCUAAAGCUAAAUAUUGGCGAGAGACCGAUAGCGAACAAGUACAGUGAUGGAAAGAUGAAAAGAACUUUGAAAAGAGAGUGAAAAAGUACGUGAAAUUGUUGAAAGGGAAGGGUUUGAGAUCAGACUCGAUAUUUUGUGAGCCUUGCCUUCGUGGCGGGGUGACCCGCAGCUUAUCGGGCCAGCAUCGGUUUGGGCGGUAGGAUAAUGGCGUAGGAAUGUGACUUUACUUCGGUGAAGUGUUAUAGCCUGCGUUGAUGCUGCCUGCCUAGACCGAGGAACUGCGAUUAUCAAGAUGCGCAAAACCCCCAAAACCCU